AGAGUUUGAUCCUGGCUCAGGACGAACGCUGGCGGCGUGCCUAAUACAUGCAAGUCGGGCGGAGCCCGAGGGGAGCUUGCUCCUUUUCGGGCUCAGCGGCGGACGGGUGAGUAACACGUGGGUAACCUGCCCGUAAGACCGGGAUAACUCCGGGAAACCGGGGCUAAUACCGGAUAACACCGGGGGCCGCAUGGCUUCCGGUUGAAAGGCGGCCUUUGGCUGCCACUUACGGAUGGGCCCGCGGCGCAUUAGCUAGUUGGUGGGGUAACGGCCCACCAAGGCGACGAUGCGUAGCCGGCCUGAGAGGGUGGACGGCCACACUGGGACUGAGACACGGCCCAGACUCCUACGGGAGGCAGCAGUAGGGAAUCUUCCGCAAUGGGCGAAAGCCUGACGGAGCGACGCCGCGUGAGCGAGGAAGGCCUUCGGGUCGUAAAGCUCUGUUGUCAGGGAAGAAGGCGCGCCGUUCGAAGAGGGCGGCGCGGUGACGGUACCUGACGAGGAAGCCCCGGCUAACUACGUG
rnacentral:rRNA from 1 species